AUUGAACGCUGGCGGCAUGCCUUACACAUGCAAGUCGAACGGCAGCACGGGAGCAAUCCUGGUGGCGAGUGGCGAACGGGUGAGUAAUGUAACGGAACGUGCCCAGCCGUGGGGGAUAACGUAGCGAAAACUACGCCAAUACCGCAUACGAUCUAUGGAUGAAAGCGGGGGAUCGCAAGAACUUGCGCGAUUGGAGCCGACGAUAUCAGAUUAGGUAGUUGGUGGGGUAAAGGCUCACCAAGCCGACGAUCUGUAGCUGGUCUGAGAGGACGACCAGCAACACUGGGACUGAGACACGGCCCAGACUCCUACGGGAGGCAGCAGUGGGGAAUUUUGGACAAUGGGCGCAAGCCUGAUCCAGCAAUGCCGCGUGCAGGAUGAAGGCCUUCGGGUUGUAAACUGCUUUUGUACGGAACGAAACGGUGAGCUCUAAUACAGUUUGCUAAUGACGGUACCGUAAGAAUAAGCACCGGCUAACUACGUGCCAGCCGCCGCUGUAA
rnacentral:rRNA from 1 species